UACGUAGGUGGCAAGCGUUGUCCGGAAUUAUUGGGCGUAAAGCGCGCGCAGGCGGAUUGGUCAGUCGGUCUUAAAAGUUCGGGGCUUAACCCCGUGAUGGGAUGGAAACUGCCAAUCUAGAGUAUCGGAGAGGAAAGUGGAAUUCCUAGUGUAGCGGUGAAAUGCGUAGAUAUUAGGAAGAACACCAGUGGCGAAGGCGACUUUCUGGACGAAAACUGACGCUGAGGCGCGAAAGCCAGGGGAGCGAACGGG
rnacentral:rRNA from 1 species